GCAGCCAAAGGCUGAUUUCGCAGCUCUGCGAAAUUGGCCUUUAGCUUGGAGUGAUCUGCUUCUAUUGGCUCUAACUUCUUCAUUUCAACUCUGAUUUGCGAACCGUUUGAAGCAUUGGAUUGUUGACUUCCCGAUCUUCGAAACGACAUAAAGCAUGCAUAAAUUGGACUUCAGGAAGUACUCCAAAAGUGGCUGAAAUGACUAUCAUCAAGAAUGCUUCAAGGUAGAUUCUCUCUUUACUUCUCCUCCUUGCAUUCCGGAUUGGUUAUGGCAAAGGAAUUUAAGGCUUCAAAGCUCUGAUUCUUCAUGUUCUUGAGCUUUCCAUUGCUUUACCAUGGAUUCCAAAUAUCUCUCCUCCAUCUUGGAUUGCUUUGGUGAUCAAAUUACUAACAAAAACACCAAAACUUACACAAAGUGAUUAGAAGUGAUUGCAAAGGUCCUUAAUAUGUUAAUUGGGUUAAAGGGCGAUAAUUACUACUCAAAAGUGUUUAAAAGAGUUAAUUACAAGCUAUCAAAUAGCCCUUUUUGAGUAGUAAUCA
rnacentral:lncRNA from 1 species